UUUAUCAUAAGCGGAGGAAAAGAAACCAACAGGGUAUUGCCUUAGUAACGGCGAGUGAAGCGGCAAAAGCUCAAAUUUGAAAUCUGGCACCUUCGGUGUCCGAGUUGUAAUUUGAAGAAGGUAACUUUGGAGUUGGCUCUUGUCUAUGUUCCUUGGAACAGGACGUCACAGAGGGUGAGAAUCCCGUGCGAUGAGAUGCCCAAUUCUAUGUAAAGUGCUUUCGAAGAGUCGAGUUGUUUGGGAAUGCAGCUCUAAGUGGGUGGUAAAUUCCAUCUAAAGCUAAAUAUUGGCGAGAGACCGAUAGCGAACAAGUACAGUGAUGGAAAGAUGAAAAGAACUUUGAAAAGAGAGUGAAAAAGUACGUGAAAUUGUUGAAAGGGAAGGGCUUGAGAUCAGACUUGGUAUUUUGCGAUCCUUUCCUUCUUGGUUGGGUUCCUCGCAGCUUACUGGGCCAGCAUCGGUUUGGAUGGUAGGAUAAUGACUAAGGAAUGUGGCUCUACUUCGGUGGAGUGUUAUAGCCUUGGUUGAUACUGCCUGUCUAGACCGAGGACUGCGUCUUUUGACUAGGAUGUUGGCAUAAUGAUCUUAAGCCACCCGUCU
rnacentral:rRNA from 1 species